rnacentral:rRNA from 1 species
UACGUAGGGGGCAAGCGUUGUCCGGAAUCAUUGGGCGUAAAGAGCGUGUAGGCGGUCCGGUAAGUCGGCUGUGAAAGUCCAAGGCUCAACCUUGGGAUGCCGGUCGAUACUGCCGGACUAGAGUUCGGAAGAGGCGAGUGGAAUUCCCGGUGUAGCGGUGAAAUGACGCAGAGAUCAGGAGGAACACCCGUAGCGAAGGCGGCACUCUGGGCCGAUACUGACACUGAGGAGCGAAAGCGUGGGGAGCGAACAGG